rfam:Brachypodium distachyon strain Bd21 chromosome 3, whole genome shotgun sequence.
GUUUUACUUCCUCCGUCCCGUAUUAAGUGACUCAAAAUUGUCUCAAUAUGGACGUAUCUAUAUAUAAAAUAUAUUUAGAUACAUGUAAUAGAAAAUCACUUAAUAUUGGACGGAUGGAGUAUGUU